UCUUGUACUAUAUGUGCUAAGUGCAAUCCUGGAAAGAUCAUAAAGACCGCACCUAAUCACCUGGCCAAACCACAAUACCCCUUCCAGAGGAUCCAGAUUGAUCACAUCCAGAUGCCAAAGAGUGGACGUUAUGAAUAUGCAUUGGUCAUAGUGGACAUGUUUUCAGGAUGGCCAGAGGCCUUCCCAGUGACUAAUCUCACCGCGAGGACUACAGCCAAG
rnacentral:lncRNA from 1 species